GAUGAACGCUGGCGGCGUGCCUAAUACAUGCAAGUCGAGCGAACGGACGAGAAGCUUGCUUCUCUGAUGUUAGCGGCGGACGGGUGAGUAACACGUGGAUAACCUACCUAUAAGACUGGGAUAACUUCGGGAAACCGGAGCUAAUACCGGAUAAUAUUUUGAACCGCAUGGUUCAAAAGUGAAAGACGGUCUUGCUGUCACUUAUAGAUGGAUCCGCGCUGCAUUAGCUAGUUGGUAAGGUAACGGCUUACCAAGGCAACGAUGCAUAGCCGACCUGAGAGGGUGAUCGGCCACACUGGAACUGAGACACGGUCCAGACUCCUACGGGAGGCAGCAGUAGGGAAUCUUCCGCAAUGGGCGAAAGCCUGACGGAGCAACGCCGCGUGAGUGAUGAAGGUCUUCGGAUCGUAAAACUCUGUUAUUAGGGAAGAACAUAUGUGUAAGUAACUGUGCACAUCUUGACGGUACCUAAUCAGAAAGCCACGGCUAACUACGUGCCAGCAGCCGCGGUAAUACGUAGGUGGCAAGCGUUAUCCGGAAUUAUUGGGCGUAAAGCGCGCGUAGGCGGUUUUUUAAGUCUGAUGUGAAAGCCCACGGCUCAACCGUGGAGGGUCAUUGGAAACUGGAAAACUUGAGUGCAGAAGAGGAAAGUGGAAUUCCAUGUGUAGCGGUGAAAUGCGCAGAGAUAUGGAGGAACACCAGUGGCGAAGGCGACUUUCUGGUCUGUAACUGACGCUGAUGUGCGAAAGCGUGGGGAUCAAACAGGAUUAGAUACCCUGGUAGUCCACGCCGUAAACGAUGAGUGCUAAGUGUUAGGGGGUUUCCGCCCCUUAGUGCUGCAGCUAACGCAUUAAGCACUCCGCCUGGGGAGUACGACCGCAAGGUUGAAACUCAAAGGAAUUGACGGGGACCCGCACAAGCGGUGGAGCAUGUGGUUUAAUUCGAAGCAACGCGAAGAACCUUACCAAAUCUUGACAUCCUCUGACAACUCUAGAGAUAGAGCUUUCCCCUUCGGGGGACAAAGUGACAGGUGGUGCAUGGUUGUCGUCAGCUCGUGUCGUGAGAUGUUGGGUUAAGUCCCGCAACGAGCGCAACCCUUAAGCUUAGUUGCCAUCAUUAAGUUGGGCACUCUAAGUUGACUGCCGGUGACAAACCGGAGGAAGGUGGGGAUGACGUCAAAUCAUCAUGCCCCUUAUGAUUUGGGCUACACACGUGCUACAAUGGACAAUACAAAGGGCAGCGAAACCGCGAGGUCAAGCAAAUCCCAUAAAGUUGUUCUCAGUUCGGAUUGUAGUCUGCAACUCGACUACAUGAAGCUGGAAUCGCUAGUAAUCGUAGAUCAGCAUGCUACGGUGAAUACGUUCCCGGGUCU
rnacentral:rRNA from 1 species